rnacentral:sRNA from 1 species
CCUCCGCGCGCGACUACGCUCAUAAAAGGAAAAAAAGCGUGUGCGGUUCUCGACGUGCCGCCAAUCUUCGAACGCAGGUCCGUGAUCAUCCGCUGACUCCGAAAAAGCGUUCGAGGAACGCGCCUGCUCCCCUCGUCGCAGUUUCCAGGCCGACGAGCUUGUUUUGUCCGAGACUCGGUGCCACUGUAGACAAUGGCCCUCGUGUCUGCCGAUUCCCGCAUUGCAGAACUUCUCACAGAGCUCCAUCAGCUGAUCAAACAAACCCAGGAAGAGCGUUCACGGAGCGAACACAACUUAGUGAACAUCCAGAAGACCCAUGAGCGGAUGCAGACAGAGAACAAGAUUUCUCCCUAUUACCGGACAAAGCUGCGUGGCCUUUACACAACCGCCAAGGCCGAUGCAGAGGCUGAGUGCAACAUCCUUCGGAAAGCUCUGGACAAGAUCGCGGAAAUCAAGUCUCUGUUGGAAGAGAGGCGGAUUGGUGAGUGGGAGAGAACAUGCUGGGAGGUCCUUUGCUAGGACAAGAGAGGCCCUGCGGGCAGCAGUCACCCUCCUGUGGGAGCCUGCAGCCACCGCCUGCUGGGAUCCUCCCAUGGAGGCUCUGGCAGACUGGCUCUGCCACUGAGAAGGGACAGGAGGUCAUUCCCAGCGCCCAGAGGCAGGGGUUUCCCAGUUCUCCCUCAGCAGCCAGAGAUCAUCCCGCCCCGGCCCCUCAUCUCCUGCCCCUUCUGGGG